rnacentral:rRNA from 1 species
GCGGAGGAAAAGAAACCAACAGGGAUUGCCCCAGUAACGGCGAGUGAAGCGGCAACAGCUCAAAUUUGAAAUCUGGUCCCCAGGGCCCGAGUUGUAAUUUGUAGAGGAUGCUUUUGGCGAGGCGCCUUCCGAGUUCCCUGGAACGGGACGCCACAGAGGGUGAGAGCCCCGUCUGGUCGGAUGCCAAGCCUAUGUAAAGCUCCUUCGACGAGUCGAGUAGUUUGGGAAUGCUGCUCAAAAUGGGAGGUAUAUGUCUUCUAAAGCUAAAUAUUGGCCAGAGACCGAUAGCGCACAAGUAGAGUGAUCGAAAGAUGAAAAGCACUUUGAAAAGAGGGUUAAAAAGUACGUGAAAUUGUUGAAAGGGAAGCGCCUAUGACCAGACUUGGGCCCGGUGAAUCAUCCAGCGUUCUCGCUGGUGCACUUUGCCGGGCACAGGCCAGCAUCAGUUUGGCGCGGGGGAUAAAGGCUUCGGGAAUGUGGCUCCCUCGGGAGUGUUAUAGCCCGUUGUGUAAUACCCUGCGCCGGACUGAGGUACGCGCUCCGCAAGGAUGCUGGCGUAAUGGUCAUCAGCGACCCGUCUUGAAACACGGACCAAGGAGUCGUCUUCGUAUGCGAGUGUUCGGGUGUAAAACCCCUACGCGUAAUGAAAGUGAACGCAGGUGAGAGCUUCGGCGCAUCAUCGACCGAUCCUGAUGUUCUCGGAUGGAUUUGAGUAAGAGCAUACGGGGCCGGACCCGAAAGAAGGUGAACUAUGCCUGUAUAGGGUGAAGCCAGAGGAAACUCUGGUGGAGGCUCGCAGCGGUUCUGACGUGCGAAUCGAUCGUCAAAUAUGGGCAUGGGGGCGAAAGACUAAUCGAACCUUCUAGUAGCUGGUUC